CUGACAAACCCUGAAGACUGAAGGCCUCUCUCUAUGCCUAGAAUAGGUACAGCAUAUGAAAUGUAGAGCCAGUCUUCCCCUAUACUGCCUCACCAAAGUGCCUUAGCCCUGUCUUGAUGGGAUCUCCUCUGGGAUGAAAAUGAAGUGCAGUGUCCAUGGGCCAUUCACUCUUUGACCCUC
rnacentral:sRNA from 1 species